rnacentral:rRNA from 1 species
CGCGGUGAAUACGUUCCCGGGCCUUGUACACACCGCCCGUCAAGCCAUGGAAGUUGGGGUACCCAAAGUCGCCUUAAACAAGCGCCUAAGGUAAAACCAAUGACUGGGGCU